rnacentral:misc_RNA from 1 species
AAGUCGUAACAAGGUUUCCGUAGGUGAACCUGCGGAAGGAUCAUUAAAAGUAAUUGGUUAUACAUAUCCUGUAUCAACUGCACAAACCCAUUCCGAGUACCUUGCCUGUUGCUUCAGGGGCCGACUUUGGUCACCUGUGAUCGAAUCCCGAGAGAGUCCCCAUGGGGGGUUAAUCAUUAAAUUCAUGAAUCCAAGUCUUCUGUCUGAAAUGUUAAAAAAUCAAAUGUUAAAA